GACAGAGGGUGCAAACGUUUGUUCGGAAUUACUGGGCGUAAAGCGCGUGUAGGCGGCUAAGUAAGUCGGGCGUGAAAUCCCACGGCUCAACCGUGGAAGUGCACUCGAAACUGCAUAGCUAGAGUCCUGGAGAGGAAGGUGGAAUGCUUGGUGUAGAGGUGAAAUUCGUAGAUAUCAAGCGGAACACCGGUGGCGAAGGCGGCCUUCUGGACAGUGACUGACGCUGAGACGCGAAAAGCGUGGGGAGCAAACAGG
rnacentral:rRNA from 1 species